rnacentral:lncRNA from 1 species
GUCCGUCAGGAUCUUACUGCCUAUCUAGACGAUUCCAUCUUGCUAGUGAAACUAAAGCUCAAUACUCCCUGACGUCUCCAGACAAGUGUUUGAGAAGGAGAUUUCUUGCUUCCAUCUGAUGGCGUUAGUUUUAUUCCUUUCUUGAAGAAUCUGGUGACUGUCAGAAAGCCAUUCACUGGUGUGGUGGGGAUACUCUGCUUCCUCUUUAAGGACAGUCAGAAGACACACCAGAUAGUGCACUAGAGCCCUGGAUCUGGGUUCUGUAUUUUUGAUCUGGAAAAAUACCCUAAGAUAAAAGGAAAAGUACAGUAUAUGGAAGAGGGGUGAUCAAAUAAAACUAUCAGAAACAGGCUCAGUUUGGAUUCUAAGAAAUUCUUAUAUUUCUUAAUUCAUCAGUAGUAAAAUUAGAGGAGUUUAUUUUUAAAACAGAAUAUGUAGAAGAGUUGUGUUCUUGUCUUUUUUUUUACUACUCUCUCUCUCUGCUUGGCCUGACUACUAGCACAAUCAGUGGACCCACUCAAGACUGCUGGGGUACAUCUUAUGCUCAUAGAUACUGUAGUUUUUGAUUGAUCAAUAGCGUUAUCAAUACAGUUUAUGAUUUCUAAUACUUUUGCCUGUCCACAUGAUAGCACGAUGUUUCUCAUUAAUGUGGUUGUUUCAUGACGUUGUUUCAGUCAUAAAGUGUGAACCCCAAAGCCUACAAUUUCACUAACUACCUAGCUUUCAGAAAAAUAGUUUCCAAGUUCUGUUACUUCCUAUUCACAGACACAAUAGGACAGAAAAAAGAUAUUAAAAAUACUGUUUAAUUCUCCAAACUGUUUUUCUUUACAAAAGCAAUACAUAUUCAUGAAACAAUUCAGAAAGUACCAGUGAGCAGAAAGAGAGAAAUUUCACCCAUAAUUCGACCACUAGAGUCAAGCAAUAUAUAAAUGGUUCUAAUAGGUAACUGAAAGGGUCAUACAGAAAAAUGUUUUGUAAACUUAGAUUUUUACUUAAUAUGACAGCUUUAGCAUUUUUGUGUCAUUAAAUAUUUCAAAGAUUAUCUACACUCUUUCAACAUGAGCCAAGCCAGCACAUCGCAGACACAGGCCAGCCUGGUCUGUGUCGGAGCCUUUGACUCUGGAGAGUCUCUACUGGUUUUGAGUCACUUUGUUGUUCUCCACGUGGACAUAUUUUGAAAUGGAGGAAUGAUAGGGAAAGUCCACCCUAGGUUAUUGUGAGUUAAAUAAUUGUGGACAAUUGCAAAUCGUAUCACAAGAAUAAUAGAUGUCCACUCUAGAUUUCCACUGAGUGAAAGUCCAGACAAGAUUAACAAUGGGCUGACUCUGAUUCCUGAGCACCUCCUGUGUACCAGUAGCCUUUCAUACGUUGUUUGGUGGUGUCAUUCCCAUGGGGAGUCGAGGGCACCGAAACUGGGAGGGUUUGGAAAUUGCCCAAGGCCACACAGCUAGGAAGGAUUGGAGAUGGUUUUCUAGCUGUUUGAAUCUCCAUGCUCUUUCUGUGAUACCACUUGGCUUCUCCCUAAUAGUGGAGGGAAAAUAUUUUGAACAUAUUUCAGUAAAAACAGAAAGAUUUCUGUGAAUGAUCAGGGCUACAGCUUGGAUUAGUUGCAUGAAUGAAAAACUACAAAUUGAGCUACUUUUAGAUCCUCCACUGACUACUCCCUCUACUGCAGUCUUUGGGCUUCAGGCAUUAAAUGGGAUGGUGCAGAUGUCAAGGUCCCUAUGGCACACUCAGUGACAUCAGUCACCUAAAAUCUGCUAUGAGUCUGAAGCCACUUGAAUGGCUUAUGCCCCUUGAGUGCAAAACAGAAAGCCCACUAUUUAGAAAGCAGAUACCGCCUUGCAGGAGGGUCUUCCUUGCCAUAUUAUUGGAGGCCAUUGCUCACAGUGUUGGAGAGCACCUCCAGCUAUGUGUAGGGAAAGGCAGUGGACUUCUGAGUCGAAAACCCAUCUGGUCCCUUAGGCGGGUCCCUGAGCCUCUUUACUUUUCUCCAAACGAUAUCAUUGGGCAAAGCCCCCAGGACAGUGUCCAGUCUGUGGUUGGCUUGGAACAGAUUUCCCACUGAGCGCCAAUUAGCAGGGGUGAAGUCCUUCCAGUUAAGAGAGAAGGCCCUGGAGAGAGAGAGAGAGAGUGAGCGCCAGGCUUGGAAUGUGAGUUCAACUAUUAGGAGUGUGAUUUUGACUUCCCUCUGCCUCAAUCUCCUUGUGCACAAAGUAAGGACAGCAAAAGUGGUCAUGCAAAGUGUUUAGAACAGUGCCUGCCACAGAGUAAUCGCUUAAUACAUGCUCUCUAUCAUUGCUAUUCAUUUUUAUUUUAUUCUAGUUUUGAAUUACCAUGUUUCUAUAAUUUCUGAUCCAAGACUUCUUACCCUACUUUUCAAAGAUCGUGGAUAUAAUUUUUCCAGGACCAUUUCUGUUUUCCUCAUUCCUGCGCUCAUUUUAGGAACAUCUUACAUCCCACUGACUCUGUGUGUAUAAGAUUGCCCGGGAGUGUGAUGAGAGCCAGAAGAACUUGCGGGGAGGGGGACAACAGUAAUAUUAGGUCCCUUUGAUAGAAAAUAGACUGCCAAAGAAAAGUUAUCUCAGAAGUUCCUGGGGUGGGUUUCCAUAUGUGGUUGGCUAACC